AUCCCAAAUAGAUAACAGGGAAAAGCGUAUCUAGUUCCAUGGUCUUUUACACUACACACCUCCUUUUGGGAAGUGGGUGGGGACAGCAUCCCCUCUGUUCAUUAUUUUGACCAGCAGCGAGCAGUGGGGACGGCGUUCUGCGGGUCCAGCUGCUCUGCAGCGUCGUGGUUGGACAGCUCCCUGCCGCCCUCCAGGACAUGACAGGGCCUCGCGCGUGGACAGGCUGAAUCUGCAGACAGGCAGCUUCCACAGGAAGAGGCGCACCGGAGACUGCUGCGGGCGUGGCUCAUGGAACGUGCAGUGUCCGGGGACGAGGGGAAGGCAGCUCUGGGCAGUGGAGAGCUCUGCAUUCGAAGCCGACAAGAAACACGUGCUCUGCCUGGGGACGCAGGAGUCGCUGAGAAGAAGCUUUCCUCACAUGCUGGGGGCAUUGGGCAGGGACAAAGAUGGCCUCGUCCCAGCUAGUGACUCCAGGAGGAGGAGGAUGGCACCCUCGGGACACCUGUGUGUCAAUCCCGAGGGAAGAACUCUCCCCUGCCCGCGGCGACGUGCCAUCCAGGGGCCAGGCACUGGGAGCCAGGCCGGGG
rnacentral:lncRNA from 1 species